rnacentral:rRNA from 1 species
UUAGAUACCCCACUAUGCUUAGCCCUAAACUUAGAUAGUUAACUUUAACAAAACUAUCCGCCAGAGAACUACUAGCAACAGCUUAAAACUCAAAGGACUUGGCGGUGCUUUAUAUCCCUCUAGAGGAGCCUGUUCUAUAAUCGAUAAACCCCGAUACACCUCACCAUCUCUUGCUAAUUCAGCCUAUAUACCGCCAUCUUCAGCAAACCCUAAAAGGGAAAAAAAGUAAGCACAAGUAUCUUAACACAAAAAAGUUAGGUCAAGGUGUAGCCCAUGAGAUGGGAAGCAAUGGGCUACAUUUUCUAAAUUAGAACACCCACGAAAAUCCUUAUGAAACUAAGUAUUAAAGGAGGAUUUAGUAGUAAAUUUGAGAAUAGAGAGCUCAAUUGAAUUGGGCCAUGAAGCACGCACACACCGCCCGUCACCCUCC